GACGAACGCUGGCGGCGUGCCUAACACAUGCAAGUCGAACGGAACUGUUUUGAAAGAUUUCUUCGGAAUGAAUUUGAUUUAGUUUAGUGGCGGACGGGUGAGUAACGCGUGAGUAACCUGCCUUCAAGAGGGGAAUAACAUUCUGAAAAGAAUGCUAAUACCGCAUGACAUAUCGGAACCACAUGGUUUUGAUAUCAAAGAUUUUAUCGCUUGAAGAUGGACUCGCGUCCGAUUAGUUAGUUGGUGAGGUAACGGCUCACCAAGACCGCGAUCGGUAGCCGGACUGAGAGGUUGAACGGCCACAUUGGGACUGAGACACGGCCCAGACUCCUACGGGAGGCAGCAGUGGGGGAUAUUGCGAAAUGGGGGCAACCCUGACGCAGCAACGCCGCGUGAAGGAUGAAGGUUUUCGGAUUGUAAACUUCUUUUAUUAAGGACGAAAAAUGACGGUACUUAAUGAAUAAGCUCCGGCUAACUACGUG
rnacentral:rRNA from 1 species